rnacentral:rRNA from 1 species
UAGGGAAUCUUCCACAAUGGACGCAAGUCUGAUGGAGCAACGCCGCGUGAGUGAAGAAGGUUUUCGGAUCGUAAAGCUCUGUUGUCGGUGAAGAAGGAUAGAGGCAGUAACUGGUCUUUAUUUGACGGUAAUCAACCAGAAAGUCACGGCUAACUACGUGCCAGCAGCCGCGGUAAUACGUAGGUGGCAAGCGUUGUCCGGAUUUAUUGGGCGUAAAGCGAGCGCAGGCGGAAUGAUAAGUCUGAUGUGAAAGCCCACGGCUCAACCGUGGAACGGCAUCGGAAACUGUCAUUCUUGAGUGCGGAAGAGGAAAGUGGAAUUCCAUGUGUAGCGGUGGAAUGCGUAGAUAUAUGGAAGAACACCAGUGGCGAAGGCGGCUCUCUGGUCUGCAACUGACGCUGAGGCUCGAAAGCAUGGGUAGCGAACAGG